AUUGAACGCUGGCGGCAUGCUUUACACAUGCAAGUCGAACGGUAACAGGGUGCUUGCACCGCUGAUGAGUGGCGAACGGGUGAGUAAUGCAUCGGAACGUGCCCGGUCGUGGGGGAUAACGCAGCGAAAGCUGCGCUAAUACCGCAUACGAUCUGAGGAUGAAAGCGGGGGACCGUAAGGCCUCGCGCGAUCGGAGCGGCCGAUGUCAGAUUUAGGUAGUUGGUGGGGUAAAGGCUCACCAAGCCAACGAUCUGUAGCUGGUCUGAGAGGACGACCAGCCACACUGGGACUGAGACACGGCCCAGACUCCUACGGGAGGCAGCAGUGGGGAAUUUUGGACAAUGGGCGAAAGCCUGAUUCAGCAAUGCCGCGUGCAGGAAGAAGGCCUUCGGGUUGUAAACUGCUUUUGUACGGAGCGAAAAGGUCUCCUCUAAUACAGGGGGCUCAUGACGGUACCGUAAGAAUAAGCACCGGCUAACUACGUGCCAGCCGCCGCCGUAA
rnacentral:rRNA from 1 species